UGACGGCAUGAAAAUUAAGGGGCCAUUGCCUAUCUGGUGGACAACUGAUCGUCUAACUUAUCUGCAAUCAUUUGCUAAAGGAUCUAGAAUUUCUGCUAGAGAACUUGCUGCAAAACCUCACUUCACUUCAAUGCCAUAAUAUUUGGGAUUGUCCACAAAUAACAACCUUGUCUUCUGAUUUGCGGCAUUCAGAAGUGGAAAAAUCAUUGGUUCUGGAAAAAAAAAGAAAAAAAAAAAAAGAAAAAAAAAAGAGAUUCAACACUUCAUAUUGCUUCAAAUCUAACUUAUUCCUUCCACCAGUUGAGUGGAUUGUUUGCAACUUUUGUCACCGAAUGCAUGUUCUGAAUGAGAUCUAGAGUUUGGGACGUAAAGUUGUUGAAGAUCAAAUCUUAUAAGAAUAAGAUUUUAUGCAGAGUUUGGAAACCGAUAAUGGUUCCGUCUUGUUGAAAGAUGCUAGAGAAGAGCAGCUACGAAUUGGUCUCUCUUGUGCAAGAAAGUGUUUGUUUUGUCUGGUAGAUUGUGCAAAAAUUUCAGUCUUUAUGGACCCAAUUUCAGUUUAGACUUCAAAGGAAAACCUGUGGGCACAACAAUCAUGCAGACCUACAUGGAUGGGAAUCAUUGUGAUGAAGGUCAUUUUCAUCUAUCAACUCUCUUCACCUCAUUCCUUUCAACAAUGGGAUUUAUGCAUGAUAAUUACCUUGAAUUGAAGUUUCAUCUCCCUUGCCUAGAGAAACUGCUGAUUGCAAGGAUUUUCAUAUUUACAAUAAUGAAUGGCUUUGGAUGAACUUCAACUUGCCGCCACAUUUUAACAACUUGGGACUGUAGAAUUUCUUUAUUGAUGGCUUCUGCAGAUAAGGUUUGACUGUUCAACAUUCCCAAUGAUGUUCAUGUGCAUUACUGUUGUUGUUGAGUGAUUGGUUCUCUCCCCAUUUACAUCAUCAUUUGGGCAGUAGUCAUUCUAUGUGAAUAAUGGCAUGAAUCGUUGACCCAUAAUUGAAAGUUAAAUAUGGAGUGACUAUGAGUCUCUUCCAUCAAAGCAUCGACCUGUAUCUUCGUGGAUCCCUCUGCCACUAAAUCACCUCAAGUGGAACGUUGAAGGUUCCUCCCUAGGAUUGAUGAUUCAAGCGCCGCAGAGUUAAAGGCCAUUCAAAAAGCGCUUGUUGUCUGUUUCUCCUCCUCUUUACCCUACUAAUGCUGUCGGUAUCCUUAUUGAAACUGACCCUAAGAUCGCUGUGUCUUGGGUGAAUAACGAUGACACUAAGACAGUACACCUCGGCGUCUCUCCUCUGUGCUGAACUCUAUUAGCUGCAACCUAAAGCGCCUCCCUAAUGCCGGGGUGAGUCAUGCUCCUAGAGCAGUGAAUUGCUUCGCUGACUCUCUUGCAAACAGGGAUUGUACCGCAAUUGUAUCUGUUAGCUUUGUUAUAAUUGCUUUGCGUCACUUUCUGUUGACAUAGGUAGAAGGUCUUGCUUCAUUAGGUUGGGUGUAAGGGAUAUGCCUGCUGGCAUGGGUUUAGUUGGACGCAGCCUUCUAUCCAUUUCUCUUUUCAUUAAUAAAUUGCAUUUUGCUUGUAUAUAAAAAAGGGAAGUAUUAUGUAUUGAUUUAAAAUAUUAUACACAGUUUUCAAUUGUAUGAAGCGUUUUUUGAGAAA